GUCCGCACAGUAAACGAUGAAUACUAACUGUUUGCGAUACACAGCAAGUGGUACAGUGAAAACGUUAAGUAUUCCACCUGGGGGAGUACGCCGGCAACGGUGAAACUCAAAGGAAUUGACGGGGGCCCGCACAAGCGGAGGAACAUGUGGUUUAAUUCGAUGAUACGCGAGGAACCUUACCCGGGCUUGAAUUGCAUUUGAAUAUAUGGGAAACUGUAUAGCCAGCAAUGGCAAAUGUGAAGGUGCUGCAUGGUUGUCGU
rnacentral:rRNA from 1 species